rnacentral:rRNA from 1 species
UCCUACGGGACGCAGCAGUGGGGAAUAUUGCACAAUGGGGGAAACCCUGAUGCAGCGACGCCGCGUGAGUGAAGAAGUAAUUCGUUAUGUAAAGCUCUAUCAGCAGGGCAGAAAAUGACGGUACCUGAGUAAGAAGCCCCGGCUAACUACGUGCCAGCAGCCGCGGUAAUACGUAGGGGGCAAGCGUUAUCCGGAUUUACUGGGUGUAAAGGGAGCGUAGACGGCAGUGCAAGUCUGGAGUGAAAGG